GACGAACGCUGGCGGCGUGCCUAAUACAUGCAAGUUGAGCGCUGAAGGUUGGUACUUGUACCGACUGGAUGAGCAGCGAACGGGUGAGUAACCCGUGGGGAAUCUGCCUUUGAGCGGGGGACAACAUUUGGAAACGAAUGCUAAUACCGCAUAAAAACUUUAAACACAAGUUUUAAGUUUGAAAGAUGCAAUUGCAUCACUCAAAGAUGAUCCCGCGUUGUAUUAGCUAGUUGGUGAGGUAAAGGCCCACCAAGGCGAUGCUACAUAGCCGACCUGACAGAGUGACCACCCACAUUGCGACUGCGACACAGCUUCACCUCCUACGAGCGGCCGCAGUCGGGCAUCUUCCGCCAUCGAUGAGAGUCUUACCGAGCCACGCCGUGUGAGUGCAGAAGCUUCUCAGCUCGUAAGUCUCUGUUGGCCGCGAAGAGCGUUGGUUGCAGUCAAAAGCUCAUCCAGUGGCGGUCCCUACCCAGAAAUGCACGGCUACAUCCGUG
rnacentral:rRNA from 1 species